rnacentral:pre_miRNA from 1 species
AGUGCAAUUGCUGGAUCUUAUGGCAGCAAUUAUGUUUGGUUUUCUAAGAAACUGCCAAACUGUCUUUCAGAGUGGCUGCUCCAUUUUGCAUUCCCAACCAGCAAU